AUGCAACAGUGGGAGCUGACCCAUGAAGCCUGGAGAAGAAGGGUGCUUCCUCAAAGGGAAUCCUUGUGCUACAUGCAUUGCCAGCAUCAGUAUAUCCAGAGGUUACCAUCUGCAUCGAGAGCACAUCCUUGCUCACAGAGAGAGGGGACCUGGAGAGGGGAGAUGCUAAGCAAUGGAAGAGCAGUCACCAGCCUCGUACUUGUCCCUACCUGA
rnacentral:lncRNA from 1 species